GGGGAUAUGGCGGAAUUGGUAGACGCAACGGACUUAAAAUCCGUUGAUUUCAAAAGUCGUGAGGGUUCAAGUCCCUCUAUCCCCA
rnacentral:tRNA from 1 species